AUGCGAGCGCGCGUAUGUACACACAAGCAUACAUGUAUACAUAUGUACAUAUCUGAUGUUUCCUCAUGGGAACGAAAUACAAACAUAAACAUCGUCACACACUAUCUCCCACUUCUCUGCUUUCUUGUUUGCCUUUUAUGUGCAUCUCUCUCUCUCUCUCGCCUUGCACCCACCGCAUCCUUGGAGCUGUCGCGCAUACAGCCUCCUCACCCGCGCAACGAAGUAGGGCUGUACGCGUAACGCUUCGUUUCUUCGUCCGCCCUCCCCCCUCCCCCUCCCCCUCGACUGCGUACGGGGUAGGGAGCGGUUGCACGCUGUGGUCGCCGUGAAGUCUUUGUUAUCUCCACCGACAAACGACACCGCUGCGAUGUCGUAGAGACAGACAGAGGCAGAGAGGGAAAGAGACAUGUGCCAUGCAGCAUCGACGUAGCCUGUCGUGCCGCCUACCAGAACUCUUCAUCCACCUCUCUCCCUCCACAUCGAUCCGCCCAGCUCCGCAUGUUCUAGACUUUCCCACUGUCCGCAUGUAUGCGUGGGUAUGAGCGCUAGAGACAGAUUAGUACACCGCGCGAGGAUACAUGACGCGGAGAAGAAGCGACACCUCACACAAGCGCAAAGAGAUGCCUGACCUUGCAUGCGUACGCAGUUGGUGUAGUCGAGGAAGUCGACUCAGGCAACAUCGCAAGUGAAACGCGUUCAUGGGGGGUGGGCGCCCUUGUGCCAGCGCUUAGAAUCAAGAAGAGCACCUAUGCCUCACUGCGCGCUCAUCAUGGCGUGCUGUGCACUUUCUGGGUGUGGCCGGUGCCGUAUUUGUUUUCCUUUCUUGAUACUGCUACAAGCGAUGGUGGAUGAACGAGUGAGGAGAGGAGACGCGGAGGACCUCAAGUUUGGUGCUCACUGCAGUUUUGCGGCUAGGACACCGCGGCGACGGCCACCACCCCCCUUACCGGCGCAGAAAUGCCGCGGCCAACCACGCCGACGGCGUUGAUGUGAAAUGGUCGCUCUUGGCGCUCAUCUACCUUCUCCUUUUCUUCCUCACUGGCUCUAAACCUUAACUCGAUCCGGGAAAUGUCUCACACCCGUAG
rnacentral:misc_RNA from 1 species